CUGGACCUGUGCGCUCUGCGCCUCGGCGCGCCGCUGGCGCUCGUUGGCGUCAAUGACAUCGGGGGCAAAAGUGACUGUGCGCGCGAGGUUGCCCGCGGUGGCGAUGGGUCCAUCGGGUCCGACCAGGUAAAAGGUCAUGAGCGGGGCGCGCGGGCCGUCGGGCGUCUCGGGCAGCGCCAGCAAGAGGUCCUCCAACUCGCGGUCGGUGAGCGACGGCAGGGCAGGCCGCACGAGGCUCACGUCGUGCCACACGCCGCGUGCCAUGUCGUAGCGAAACACGCGACGACCGACCUUGCUCGGGUCGAUGGCCAGUGCUGUCGCCGACAGCGAGCCGAUGCUAGGCACCGCGGCAGUGCCCGUCAACGGAGCCACAUGGAGGCCGACGAGGGCGCGCGGUGGCACCGUGUGUGGGGGUUCGGGCAGGGUGCCGCCGGUGGCGCGUGCGACCCGGCGCAUAAACUGGGACCAGUGGGCGCGCUCGCGCGGCGUGGGCGCCUCGCGGCUCGCCAUAAUCACCGCAAGCGUGGGCGGCAGCGCCCCCGUGAGACCGACGGCGAGGCCGCCUUGACGCUGGGCACGCAGGGCGGUCUCGAUGGCCGCGGCCUCGGCGGCGUCGCCGGCUGGCGAUUCCGAGCGCGGUCGCCCGCCAGGCCCGGCCGCGUAAUAGGCGGCGAGCGCGUCGUGCGACGUUGCCGGCGUGGGAACCUCGGCCGGCUCAAUGUCCAGGGCGUAAAAACUGCCCUGACGACUGCCGCCGACAGUGAUGACGGGCACGCGCGCCACCUCAUAGGCGCCGGGCGUGUAGGGUGCCCGACGCACAUAGCCAAAGAGCCGCCGCACGACAAAGGCCACGGGCCGCGGGACGCGCGCCGGUGCCCACAGUUCCGGCGGUAUCACGAGCAUCUGACCGUCGGCGAGCAUAAAGGCGCGAUCCAACACUUGUUCGAUGGGCGACGGCUGUGGCCCUUGCAGCCCGGCCACCGCACGCGCAUAGGCGUCGAGGGCCUCUUGCGCAUCUCGCGCUGCCGGCGCGAGGAUGAUGGCCGCACCCAGCGGGAAGACGCUGGGCGUGAGCACGAUAUUGCCCAGGUCGCCGCUGUUCUCAAUGUGCUCGGCAGCGGCGGCCAGCGGUGGCGGCAGGGAGGCAUCGGUGGGGUGCUCGCUGCCGCCCCAUAGGUUCCAAAGCACGUCAUAGGGCACCAGGGCCUCUGUGGUCGGCAUCGACGACCCGCCCGCCACCGCAUAGCCAUAGGCGACGCCCGGCAGCGCGGGGUCGGUCGAGUAGGUUGCGAGGCCGAUAAAGGGCUGCGCCGGUGUCUCUUCGAGGACCUCGUCGCGCGCGAGGCCCAACGUCGUGCCAAACACGUCGGCAUAGAUGUUGCGGCCCGACACAUCAUCGCUGCCGAUGCGCGUGACCAGUGCGCGCACCAGACGACCCGAACCGGGUGGCUGCUCAUAGGUGAUACGCACUAGGGGCCGCCGGCACCCGUCGGCAACGGCGCCGGCCUCGCCGCCGUACCUGGGGCAGUGCCGGCAAGCGUCAUUACUGCAGUGGGAAUGGCUGGCCCCUCGGUGGCGGCUGUGUACCACUCGCCAAAGAGCGUCGACGGCACGACGAUGGGCGACGCGCCGACGCCAAUGGCCUGCGCAAUCUCCCCGCCAGACUCGGGCGACACGGUGGCGUAGCGCAGCCGCUGGCCGGCGGGAUCGGCUGCCCAGGCGGCAGCAUUGCCUGCGGGCGACAACCCCGGAGGACCCGAUAGGGCCGGGUGCAUGAUGGCACGGAGCCGUCCGACCGGCAGCGGCUCCACCCCGCGCUCUGGAUCCACCUGACGCCAGCGCGCCUUGAACCGCGCGGCGUUGACAUCGACGGCCUCGGCGACGGCGCCCGAUACGUCUUCGGGCAUUACAUUGGGCGCGAGGGCGUCGAGCACAACAUUGGUAGUGCGUCGUGGAGCACAUUCGUGCCGCCCAGCCGAUCCAGGUGGUUGAGGAGCCGCGCGUCGACGCAGCGCGCGACGACGCCGUUGGCGCCCACGACGCGAAACACAAACGGCGGCGGCACGUCGGCCACCUGGUCGGCGUUGGGACACGGCGCCAAGGCCGGCAGGCUCGGCGCGCCCAUCCGGCAGCGCGGCCAGUCGCUCAAAGUCCGCCUCACCAAUCUCGUAGCCCAGUGCUUCGGCGAGCCCUUUACGCGCCUCCUCUCGGUUUUCAAGAUGCGCUGUGCGCGUACUCUGGCCUCGUGCACCCGGCGCAUUUCGGCGGCGGUCUCGUCGGGUGCUUCCAUGCUGUUGCCGGUGGCGUGGUUCUGCUGCCGACUCGCUUUUUUUGUUCGGUGGCGUGCGUCGGUCGGCUUUGGGCGCCUCUCUUGCGCUCUCUUCUUUUUUUUUAAAAAAAAAAGAUGGUUCUGCU
rnacentral:lncRNA from 1 species